rnacentral:rRNA from 1 species
ACGCUCGACACCUACGGGGCAGCAGUGGGGAAUAUUGCACAAUGGGGGAAACCCUGAUGCAGCGACGCCGCGUGAGUGAAGAAGUAUUUCGGUAUGUAAAGCUCUAUCAGCAGGGAAGAAGAUGACGGUACCUGAGUAAGAAGCCCCGGCUAACUACGUGCCAGACGCGCCGGUAGUACUCGNGCGGGCGGUCGGUACGGAACGGAACGGCU